UACGGGGGGUGCGAGCGUUGUCCGGAAUCACUGGGCGUAAAGGGCGCGUAGGCGGCUUGAUAAGUAGGGGGUGAAAUCUUGCGGCUCAACUGCAAGGCUGCCUCCUAAACUGUCAGGCUUGAGCACAGUAGAGGCAGGUGGAAUUCCCGGUGUAGCGGUGGAAUGCGUAGAGAUCGGGAAGAACAUCGGUGGCGAAGGCGGCCUGCCUGGGCUGUUGGCUGACGCUGAGGCGCGACAGCGUGGGGAGCAAACAGG
rnacentral:rRNA from 1 species